GAUUAACGCUAGCGGCAGGCCUAAUACAUGCAAGUCGUGGGGCAGCAGGGUGUAGCAAUACAUUGCUGGCGACCGGCGCACGGGUGCGUAACACGUAUGCAAUCUACCUCGAACUGGGGAAUAGCCCUCCGAAAGGAGGAUUAAUACCGCAUAAUAUCACGAGACGGCAUCGCCUUGUGAUCAAAUCUACGGAGGUUCGAGAUGAGCAUGCGUUCGAUUAGCUAGUUGGCGGGGUAACGGCCCACCAAGGCUACGAGCGAUAGGGGGUCUGAGAGGAUGAUCCCCCACACUGGUACUGAGACACGGACCAGACUCCUACGGGAGGCAGCAGUAAGGAAUAUUGGACAAUGGCCGCAAGGCUGAUCCAGCCAUGCCGCGUGCAGGAUGAAGGUGCUAUGCAUUGUAAACUGCUUUUGUUCGGGAAUAAACCCCUCUACGUGUAGAGGGUUGAAUGUACCGAAAGAAUAAGGGUCGGCUAACUUCGUGCCAGCAGCCGCCGUAACAC
rnacentral:rRNA from 1 species